ACAGUUUGAUGAUGAUUACCCAAAGCAGCAGUAGGUAGCAAAUAGAAGUUAUGGCUUCUGCUAGUAGUGUUACUCUGGUUAGUGGCAUUGCCAUUUAUGUUUUUUGUUCCUUUCACCUCAAUGUCUUUCAGUCAUAGUGGCACAUUGCAGAAUAGCUCACUGUCCAUUUUCCACUGUGCAGGGUGGAGUACAGGUCCACUGUGCUGAUUUUGAAAAAAGCAUAACCCUUCUAUUGUCUUCUUUUUACCAUGUUUAAAAGGACAGGACUUUGUUUAGGAGGGAUCAUAGAGAGGCCUACUUAGGAACAUUGCCAUUUUCCCGACUCUGAUGCAUCAGUUGCUCGUACAGUGAAGCUUGCAAUGAUCAAAAUCUCAUGCUAAUCUUCCAGUGUCUUUUUUUUCCUGUCUCCUGCUGACUACUAUUUUUAUAAUUUAGGUAACCCCAACCAGCAGUAAGAUAUCACCUGUUAAUUGGUAAAUGACUGCCUGUCUCCUGCUGACUACUAUUUUUCUAAUUUAGGUAACCCAACCAGCAGUAAAAUAUCACCUGUUAAUUGGUAAAUGACUGUUUUCCUUAUCGAAAUAGAUAAAAUGAUUUUUUAACUUUAGGUUCCAUGGUCAAAUGGUUUUCCAUCUCCUCCUAGGUUUGCUCUUCCUGAAAUAAAGAUGAAGAAGCAUUUUAUAGGAUGAUUGUGAGUUGAAAAUUUAUCCCUUCUAUAAUUAUAAACCGAUCUUAGCUUUGUUAAUUGCCUACAGUAUUUAGGCUCCUCUCUUUCCAGGAUACAAUUAGAGUUUGUCAUUCUUGAAGAUUGAUCUUAUGCAUUCCAAGUUUUUGCAGG
rnacentral:lncRNA from 1 species